AGGAAAAGAAACCAACAGGGAUUGCCCCAGUAACGGCGAGUGAAGCGGCAACAGCUCAAAUUUGAAAUCUGGCCCCCCGGCCCGAGUUGUAAUUUGGAGAGGAUGCUUCUGGCGCGGCGCCGUCCGAGUUCCUUGGAACAGGACGCCACAGAGGGUGAGAGCCCCGUACGGACGGACGCCUAGCCUCUACGAAGCUCCUUCGACGAGUCGAGUAGUUUGGGAAUGCUGCUCAAAAUGGGAGGUAAAUUUCUUCUAAAGCUAAAUACCGGCCAGAGACCGAUAGCGCACAAGUAGAGUGAUCGAAAGAUGAAAAGCACUUUGAAAAGAGGGUUAAAAAGUACGUGAAAUUGUUGAAAGGGAAGCGCCUGUGACCAGACUUGCGCCCCGCGGACCACCCGGCGUUCUCGCCGGUGCACUCUGCGGUGCGCAGGCCAGCAUCGGUUCUCCCAGGGGGACAAAGGCCGCGGGAACGUAGCUCCUUCGGGAGUGUUAUAGCCCGCGGCGGCAUGCCCCUGGGGGGACCGAGGACCGCGCUUCGGCAAGGAUGCUGGCGUAAUGGUCACCAGCGACCCGU
rnacentral:rRNA from 1 species